rnacentral:rRNA from 1 species
UACGUAGGGGGCAAGCGUUGUCCGGAUUUAUUGGGCGUGAAGCGCUCGCAGGUGGUUCGUUGCGUCGUGCGUGAAAGACCCCGGCUCAACUGGGGGAUGUCGUGCGAUACGGGCGGACUGGAGGCCAGUAGGGGGAUGCGGAAUUCCGGGUGUAGUGGUGGAAUGCGUAGAGAUCCGGAGGAACACCAGCGGCGAAGGCGGCAUCCUGGACUGGUCCUGACACUCCGGAGCGAAAGCGUGGGGAGCGAGCCGG